rnacentral:misc_RNA from 1 species
UCCUGGUUUCCCAGGCAGUCUCGCCAGAGUGCUUUACCCGAAGGCAGUCGCAACUGACGACAAGGGUUGCGCUCGUUAGAGGACUUAACCCAACAUCUCACGACACGAGCUGACGACAGCCAUGCAGCACCUGUGCAUCUGUCUAGACCGAAGCCUAAAAGACUGUGUUUCCACAGCUGUCAAAUGCAUGUCAAGUCCAGGUAAGGUUCCUCGCGUAACGACGAAUUAAACCACAUGUUCCACCGCUUGUGCGGACCCCCGUCAAUUCCUUUGAGUUUUAAUCUUGCGACCGUACUCCCCAGGCGGAUCACUUAACGCGUUAGCUUCGAUACCGCCCCAGCAGAGCUGGGCCGACAUCCAGUGAUCAGCGUUUACAGCGUGGACUAC